UACGUGAGGGCGAACGUUGUUCGGUGUCACUGGGCUUAAAGGGUGCGUAGGCGGCGCGGUAAGUCGGGUGUGAAAUCUCGGAGCUUAACUCCGAAACUGCAUUCGAUACUGCCGUGCUUGAGGACUGGAGAGGAGACUGGAAUUUACGGUGUAGCGGUGAAAUGCGUAGAUAUCAGGAGGAACACCGGUGGCGAAGGCGGAUCUCUGGGCCUGCACUGACGCUCAUGCACGAAAGCGUGGGGAGCAAACAGG
rnacentral:rRNA from 1 species